ensembl:lncRNA
GUGCGUAACGCAGUCCAGGGCGUUUGCCAGUGCUUGGAAAAUGUGAAUUUAAAAAUGCAUGAAUGUUUGUAAGUAUGAUACAUAACAUUUGGGCCGAUUCGGAACGCGCCUAAGAUGCCCACAGAUGUUUUCUAAGGGCUCGCAGAUUUUUGACACAACCUGACGGUUACAGGCGACAGCGGGCUUCCUCUCUGAAGAGACUUUACACGCUUUAUGGGUGGUCGGAUUUGCCAGGAGAAAGCCUGAGAGAAAUGUUUUUGACCGUUGAGGGGGAAAACAAUAUUUGUUUUGGAGAAGUGUUUGUGUAAGUCUGCGCUGUAAUAUGUAUUUAUAAAACAUAUGCAGCAGGUUUUAAGGAAUGAACGAUUCAUACAUCCUGCCAAGAAUGUUUUUCCACAGGUCUUUCUCGAGGGACAGCUGUACCACACACAUCCCUUUCUAACGUUUCACUGAGUGCCAGGCAGUCUGAUUGUUACUCAGGGAAGGACACACCUUAUUUCUGACUCAUUGUGUGUUUAGUGUUAU